UGUUCAUCUGGAGAUAAGAAGAAGGUUGGAGGUCCUCAUGCGAGACAGAUUUUUAGAAGACACAAAAUACUCACUGCUGGAAAAACAGUCUUGUACAACUGAAGCAGUACCUGUUUGAUUACAGUGUCACUGAUGUCUCCACCCACGUUGUCAAAGUAAACAUCAAUCCCUUGAGGGCAGCGCUCCUUGAGCCUUGCAGGAAUGUCCUCUUGACGGUAGUUGAUGGCUGCAUCAAAGCCCAAGUCUUCCACUAAAGCUCUGCACUUCUCAUCAGAACCACUAAUACCAACCACUCUCACACAUCCAUCCAGCCUGCCAAUCUAAAAAAAACAAAAAACAAUAAUAAUACAGUCAGGAUUUCACCUUAUUGUCUUUGCAGUUAAAUCCUUUUUUUUUUUGUUAGCAUCUGUGAUUGUCUUGAUUCUGUAUGCUUAUAGGGUUUCUUAAACUGUAUAUAAUAAACGUUAACGUUAAAAGCUCCUGUGAGGAACUUUUGGUUUGAUUUUGUGAGUUUACCUGUCCAGCAAUGGAGCCACAUGCCCCAGCUGCACCGCUCACCACCAUUGUCUGAUUUGCUCCUUUGGUCACAUUACCCUUCUCCCUUACUCCCAAAAGUGCAGUGAGGCCUGUAAUACCAACUGCUCCCAAAAAGUACGACAAAUGGCCAUCAACCAACUGAGGAUGAACCUGCGAUAGGUAGAAGCAUGGGUCUGCCAGGGCCAGUUGAAGUUUGUGACCACAUCUCCCUUCGUGCAACCAGCACAGCGGCUGGACUCAACCACACCAACACCUCCACCAUCCACACACUCGGACAAAAGCCAUGGAGUCAAAUAUCCUGCACCGGUGUCUUCGUUCAUUCUGCAACGCUGCAAAGAAAAGACACAAAAAAAAAAAUAAGAAGGGUUAGGGUUAUAUUUUCAGCAUGGACACCAGAUUGCAACACAUUUGUAUGUUCUUUAGUUUUAGUGAGAAGUAACAGCUGGAGUCCUCUUUUCUAAUCUGAACUCAAACGUGAAUGCAUACAGGGGACUAAACCCACAGGUUUGUGAAGCAAGAUCCUACAAGACAAUAAUCUAAAUAUGUAAAAAA